rnacentral:rRNA from 1 species
GUAAAAGUCGUAACAAGGUUUCCGUAGGUGAACCUGCGGAAGGAUCAUUACCUAGAGUUGUAGGCUUUGCCUGCUAUCUCUUACCCAUGUCUUUUGAGUACCUUACGUUUCCUCGGUGGGUUCGCCCACCGAUUGGACAAAUUUAAACCCUUUGCAGUUGAAAUCAGCGUCUGAAAAAACUUAAUAGUUACAACUUUCAACAACGGAUCUCUUGGUUCUGGCAUCGAUGAAGAACGCAGCGAAAUGCGAUAAGUAGUGUGAAUUGCAGAAUUCAGUGAAUCAUCGAAUCUUUGAACGCACAUUGCGCCCCUUGGUAUUCCAUGGGGCAUGCCUGUUCGAGCGUCAUUUGUACCUUCAAGCUCUGCUUGGUGUUGGGUGUUUGUCUCCUGUAGACUCGCCUUAAAACAAUUGGCAGCCGGCGUAUUGAUUUCGGAGCGCAGUACAUCUCGCGCUUUGCACUCAUAACGACGACAUCCAAAAGUACAUUUUUACACUCUUGACCUCGGAUCAGGUAGGGAUACCCGCUGAACUUAAGCA